AUUUCCCCUCCCCCAGUCCCCCUCUCUGACAUCACUGUGACCUCCUCCUGUCUCCCGGAUGGCAGCGCAGUGGCCGAAUGUUCGGUGAAAGGAUCAGAUCCGCGUUAUUCCUGGAGUUUGGAUGGGAGAUCCGUCUCCUCACACAGCCCGGUAACUCUUCCUCCUCCGGUCUCCGGAACCCUCCGCUGUGAUGUCACCAAUCGGAUCAAUCAUCUAAGUAGAUCCAUCAACAUCUCCUGUCCAGUUCCGGUUUCAGAUCCAGUGCUGGAUGUGAAGUGUCUCCAGAAUGGCAUCGCUGAGAUCUCCUGCAGUGUGGAGAAGGGGACUGACCCCUCCAUCUACCUGACUGUGAUUGGAGAAUUGGAGGUAUAUGAUGUCACCGGAUCAGAGCAGACAGUCCGUGUCACUGUGCCUCCUGUGUCACCACCCGAUUCCUGGAAUAUCAGCUGUUCAGCAAAGAACGUCAUCAGUGAGAGAUCCACCAAUCAGACACAAGACGCUUGUCCAGGAAAAAUCCGGUCUUUGUUGGGUCACCUCCUGUCAUCCGGGGCGGUCUUUGUCCUCUACACUGCUCUCCUCAUCUUUAUAAUC